rnacentral:rRNA from 1 species
CCUACGGGUGGCAGCAGUGAGGAAUAUUGGUCAAUGGGCGCGAGCCUGAACCAGCCAAGUCGCGUGAGGGAAGACGGUCCUAUGGAUUGUAAACCUCUUUUGUCGGGGGGCAAAAGACGCCACGCGUGUCUUUCCGAGAGUACCCUACGAACAAGCAUCGGCUAACUCCGUGCCAGCAGCCGCGGUAAUACGGGGGAUACGAGCGUUAUCCGGAUUUAUUGGGUUUAAAGGGUGCGCAGGCGGAAGAUCAAGUCAGCGGUAAAAUUGAGCGGAUCAACCUCUUCGAGCCGUUGAAACUGGUUGUCUUGAGUGAGCGAGAAGUAGGCGGAAUGCGUGGUGUAGCGGUGAAAUGCAUAGAUAUCACGCAGAACUCCGAUUGCGAAGGCAGCAUACCGGAGCGCAACUGACGCUCAGGCACGAAAGUGUGGGUAGCGAACAGGAUUAGAUACCCUAGUAGUC